AUACGUAGGUGGCAAGCGUUGUCCGGCAUUAUUGGGCGUAAAGCGCGCGCAGGUGGUUCCUUAAGUCUGAUGUGAAAGCCCCCGGCUCAACCGGGGAGGGUCAUUGGAAACUGGGGAACUUGAGUGCAGAAGAGGAUAGUGGAAUUCCAAGUGUAGCGGUGAAAGGCGUAGAGAUUUGGAGGAUCUCCAGUGGCGAAGGCGACUGUCUGGUCUGUAACUGACACUGAGGCGCGAAAGCGUGGGGAGCAAACAGGAUUAGAUACCCUGGUAGUCCACGCCGUAAACGAUGAGUGCUAAGUGUUGGGGGGUUUCCGCCCCUCAGUGCUGCAGCUAACGCAUUAAGCACUCCGCCUGGGGAGUACGGUCGCAAGACUGAAACUCAAAUGAAUUGGCGGGG
rnacentral:rRNA from 1 species